GUUAGGAGAAGGCCAGAACGAUGCAUAUCAAAAGGGAAAAAAUGCAUUGGAAACAGGUUUAAUACUCUAAAAAUUGCUUAGCAAGGAAUAUAUAUGAAGAGAUUAAGCUCUCUCUCUCUCUGUCUCUCUCUAGUUCUAUCAAUCUCAAGCUCUCUCUCAAUCUCUCUCUCGUCUCUCCAUCUCCUGUCCUAUUUUCAUAAUCUAAUUUGUGAGUUGAUGCUCUUCCCUCUUAGUUAAAUUAUACUAAAUAUCAUAUUUUAUAAAUACAAAUACUACAUUGGUGAA